rnacentral:tRNA from 1 species
GCCCGGGUGGCGAAAUUGGUAGACGCAAGGGACUUAAAAUCCCUCGGAGGCAACUCCUUGCCGGUUCGAUUCCGGCCCCGGGCACCA